rnacentral:tRNA from 1 species
GUGGGGAUAUAGCUCAAUUGGUAGAGUUUUUGCCUCUUAUGCAGAAGGUCCUGGGUUCAAUUCCUAGCACCACA